AGUGCCUGCCACACAGUUGCACAUAAAAUUCCCCUCACUUCCAGCAAGACUUGUGUAAGCAAAACACUAGGGUAGAUUUCUCGCAGGAAAUUACAG